rnacentral:lncRNA from 1 species
GACUGACAGUGAAAUUCCAUGCAAUACCAACGACGAUGUUGCUGAAGACGUAGCAGUUGAGGAAAACCUUGAAGAACCAUCAGUUGAGGAGAAACCUGAAGAAUUAGCGGUUGAAGAGAAACCUGAAAAACCAGCAAUUGAGGAGAAACGUGAAGAACCAAUAAUUGAGAAGAAACCUAAAGAACCAGCAGUUGAGGAGAAACCUGAAGAACAAACCGUUGAAGAGAGACUUGAAGAACCAACAAUUGAAGAUGAGAAACUUGAAGAACCAACAAAUGAAGAUGAGAAACUUGAAAGGGUA